CCAACUGAGCAGAGGGAUCCUCCUCCCAUCAUCACUGUUGGAAGUCGUGGCCAUUUCCUGUCCUCCUACCACUUGUUACUGGGGAGAAGGACCCAAGCCCCACCUGGCUGCAACCUCCUUGCAAGGACCUGUAGAGACGCAAGCCACCGAAGCAGAGCAGAGGCGCCACGGCACAGCAAGCCGUUCCAAAACCUUCAAUGGAGCAGUUAAAAUCAACUCCUCGCCAGGCAAUUUAGCAGCAUCACUUCUCACAAUUAAACACACUACCUUAGCAAUCAACUGCAGCACAUUAAUCCCACGUCAGGAGACAAAAGGAAGUGAAACCAGAGGGAUUCUGAUAGAUGAAAGCCAUCUCGGUAAUUUCGCAGCACUUCACGGCGCUCUUAGGCAGCGCAAAUGAAAGGAUGAAUUGAUUUAAGCAAUGU